rnacentral:rRNA from 1 species
UACGGGGGGAGCAAGCGUUGUUCGGAUUUACUGGGCGUAAAGGGCGCGUAGGCGGCACCGCAAGUCGACUGUGAAAUCUCCGGGCUUAACCCGGAAAGGUCAGCCGAUACUGCGGGGCUAGAGUGCAGAAGGGGCAACUGGAAUUCUCGGUGUAGCGGUGAAAUGCGUAGAUAUUGGGAAGAACACCUGAGGCGAAGGCGGGUUGCUGGGCCGACACUGACGCUGAGGCGCGAAAGCCAGGGGAGCGAACGGG